rnacentral:lncRNA from 1 species
AGACUCAUUUGUCGUUUCCUUGCUAAAGAAGGCUUUCUGUGUUGGAACUACUGCCCCAUGCCCUCUCCUUCCAUAUCUGCUCAACUUCAACAAAUGCCAGCCCCAUGGUCUCAGGGACAUACAUAAUCACAAACACAACUGCGAGCACUGCUAUGCCCGCGAGCAUCAGGAAAGUCGAACCUGUUCCUACUGCUUCGGCAAUUGAAAGGAAAGUUUGGGCUACUAUCAGAUUGGAGAUCCAGUUAACAGUAGCUGACAUGCCCCCGCAUAUUCCUCGAUAUUGUUCGGGAUAUAUCUCCGAGUUCACAGUCCAUGGAACAGGUCCCAUUCCUGGUGAGAAGGAAGCAAUAUACAGGGCUAACUGAUGGGAACCGUGGGAUAAAGAAAGUUGCAGCCAAAUCAAGAACUGCAGGAAGAUGGAGAGAUGCAACCAGCCAUCAUUAAUGAAGAUUUCAGAGACUUUGAAUCUGAUCUUUAAAGCCUGCUGAAUUUAAUAAAGUUAAUCUGGUCAUAGACCGAAUCUAGACAUUUUUCUUUAUUCAUGCAUUUUAAUGUUAUCUGGAGUUUUAUUGGCUUGUUACUAUAUUUAGUUGGCUGUAAUCACAAAAGAGAGGGACAUUGAUUUUACAAAAGUUAUUCAGUUUAAAAUUCCUGUUAAGUGUUGAAGCUACUCUUCGUCUUGUUGAACGAUAUCAACAAUCUUCGUCUUCGUGAACGAAAUCACGAUCCAGCUCACAAACGAGAUUUAUAUUUUCACAUUAAUAAUCGAUAAAUCGAUCCAUGCUCACAAAUAAUUAUAUUUUCACAUUGAUUCGAUGUAAAAUUUAUAUUUUACAUUUUUUUUUUUGCUUACGUUAGCAAUUUGAUGUUUUUUUUGGAUUCGAGGAAAUCUCAUCCCCGAAAAGCGUAUUUUAUGGAUCUAGGUAAGCGAGUAAAACCCGAGUUGUCCUAGGCUCUUAUAAAAGGUGCACGCCCUGACUCGAACUCGAGACCUGUUAUGCAAAUCUCAAGUUCUUUGUCAUCACACCUCGCCCCUUCGAGACAUUAGACAUUAGAUAUUAGCAAUGUGAUGUUCCUAACAAAUAAUUUGCUAAGAUAUCAAAAUCUUCAAAAAUAAAAAAAUUUCCCAAUAUUGUAAGUGCAUGAUUGAAGACAAAAUUCAUCAAGGUUAUAUUAUGGGUGCACGUAUCUACCCUGCCACGAUGAUAAUGCCUUUUACGCCUAAUAAUCUUGUGGGAAAAUUGAUCGACAUCAUACUAUUCAACAACAAAAUGUUGUUUUUCAUGUUUCAGCUUCUCAGCCGUUCGAAUGAAAUUUGAAGCCAAGCCUAGUCUGAGAGGGUCACCAUAUCCAUGUUAAAUGCGCUUAACUGCAAUCAAGUCUAUGAAUAAUAAAUUUGAUAGUUCAUUGGAUCCAUGAUUAAUAAGGCUCGACCCAUAACGAAGUUCAAGGUAUUAAGUUUAGUAUCUUGUUGGAUUCAUAUAUAUAUAUAUAUUUUUAUUAAUGUAAGUGUUUGGGUCAACUUGCACACAUCUUGACUAAUCCCAUAAGCCCUUAAGCUAACGAUUAUUUAAGUUUUUAGCGGUUAUAAAAUUUGUGGACUUGAACUGAUAAUUUUAAAAAAAUAAAUUUAAAAAAUAAUUUUUAAAAAAUAAAUUUAAAAUCUAAUUAAUUAAAUUAUAUUUUAUUUAUUUAGACUUGAUAUAAUACCAAAUCGAUAAGGGAUAUAUUUAACAACUCAACCGACUCAUCUCCACUUAAAUUUAACAACUCGUCAAAAUAAUAUAUUUGUUUUGACUCAAUAAGUAGGUGAAGCAAAAAAUGAAUGGAUUCGGCACCCUUGAAAUUUGAACGUUGUUGAAUUUCCAUCCAAUUCCUCCUCACCACAAAAUUGUGGUCGAAUUUGCACAUGUUGACUUGGUUUUCAAUUUUUUUGACUUGUUUUUUGCAUCAUUGUCCAAUCUAGAAUGCUCGUUUGGGAAUGUGUGUAGGCUUGUGACUUGUCUUUCUAAAUCAUAAUCAAUAAUUGAUAGAACAAUCUCACGCGUGUUAAUAAAAAUCUUAUGUGUAAUAUAUCAAAGUGUGAACCUUAACCGUCCAUUUUUGUUUAUAAUUGAUUUUUUUUCUAAAAAAUAAUAAAAAGAAAAGAGAUUGAAAUGGAGUAACAUGAUAUUAUUUCUUUCAUCAUGAAAACAUGAUUUGAAUCUUGUAUUGUGUAGUUCAUAUGACAACUAUCAUCGAAUCCUAUAAAAUAACCGAGGAAAAAUACAUCGAUGGGGAAGAAGCAUUUUUCCAAGUUUUAAGGCCUUGCAUGUCGGUGUAGGCUUUCACGCUUUUGAAUCUGUGGUUUCAUUGAACUUGCUAGCAAGUUUCGCUGCAAAUUCCGUAAUAUUAUUAUCAGAGCUUCCACCUUCACCCAUGGCUGCUUUGGCUAGUUUCUUCCAUUUCUCAGAAUUCCUUCUCAUCUCACUCCCUCUUUCACCUUCCAUGACUUCCCUUGUACACUUUUCUAACUCUUCUUUAGUGACAAUCCCCUUUUCAUUUGCCUUCACUCUAACUCCUACACGCCAAACAUCUGCUAUGUACUUCGCAUUUGUUGGUUGAUCAGUCCACUGUGGCACCGCCACCAUUGGCACUCCUAAGCUCAACGCUUCAAGCGUCGAGUUCCACCACAAUGAGUCAUGAAGCAACCAACAGACUUGUGAGCCAGAACCUCUAGCUGAGGGCUCCAGGUCACAAUCAGACCCUUCUCUGAGGACCUCUCCACAAAGUUACAUGGAAGUUUUUUCUCUUCCGAUUCUCUGACUACCCACAAGAAGUUGCAGUCGCUUCUCCUUAGGCCCCAAGCUAUUUCUGCCAUUUGCUCUUCUCCAAGAGCAGCCAAGGUUCCAAAUGACACGUAAACCACGGAGCCAGUUUCCUUUGAGUCUAGCCAUUCCAUGCAACCGUCGAGAGCAGGUUUGAAGAGGCUGAGGCCAUACCCUGUGUCAUCCUCUAGCUGCCUGUCCAAGUAAACUGAUGGAAUCAUGGGUCCUAUUGGCUUGAUUGACCUCUUGCUUGCCAGCCAGUUUACCACCUGAUACAAAUGAGCAAAAUCUUGAGUGCCAUAGAAUUUAAGGCAGCGUACUUUGCAAAUAUGGUAAUAUCUAUUAGUAUGAUCAGAGAAAAAAGAGUUCAAUAAGGAAUUCGAAGUAGUGCUGCUUUUCUUUAUGUAACUUCUUCAGGGUUACCUCCUCCUCCAGGGUGUUGAAACUGUUCACAAAGACCCAAUCAGCUCCCCUGAAAUUCAAAAACUGAUUGACUACUACGGUAAGUAUAGAUGAGUAUUCUGAUUCCAUGUCGUGCACGAAUGAUGGCAGUUCAUCAGCGUCUAGAGGUGGCAGCCCUGGAACUGAUACAGGAAACUUCUCUAGUGGAAUCUUUAGCUGCUCCUCAUGGAUUUGGUAGUAGACAGAGUUAACAGCACAUGACUGUGUGAAGAAGGAAGCUCCAAUGAGGCCAAGCUGUCUAGCUAUCUCUAGAACCCAAGGCAUGAAUGAGUCAUACACUAGGCAACUUACUGGAUGUCCAGAAGAGAUACCUAGCUCUACAACGAGUUGUGAAAGUUUUUGUGUCACUUUAGCUUGGAAUUGCUUUAGAAGGUCAGCUAUGGAACUGCUGCCUGCAUCAUAACAAUCAGAAACGGUCACCACUUUGACAGAGCCAAGCGAGGCCGGCGUCGAGAGCGUCUGGCUUGAGAAGAUGACCAGAGUUACUUGGAGUCCUUUGGAGGCCAGGCGCUUGGAGAACUGGAUCAUGGGGUUAAUGUGACCUUGAACAGGAUAAGGUAUGACCACUACAUGACAGAUUCUUUCUUCUUGCUUCUCCAUUUCUCUAAUUAACAAAACCAGUCUUUGUGCUUUUCUUUCUCGUGUAGGAGUACUCCUGCCUGCAUAUAUGUAAGCUUUUUACGUCCAAUUGUGUGGUCCGAACUGACGUGUUGAUCUUAAUGUUGUAUUUCCUAGAUUUUUUAUUUAUUUUUUUGAAUUUCACUUACGUGAGAGAAAGGAGUACAAUUUUCGUUAUAAAGAUGUUUGAAAUCCUUUAAGUUAAAUUUAAUUUAGAAUUUUUAAUAAAAUUUCAUGUUUUGUACCAUUUUAAGUAUCAAUAAUUAAAUCUAAAUAUAAUUUAUUUUUUAAAAAUAGUUAAAAAAAUAAAUAGAUGCCAACUCUUUUGAUUUACUAUUCUAAAAUAAAAAAAUUAAAUUGAAAAUUAACCUUCUCAAAACACCUAUUUAUCAUAUUUUAGAGAUAUUUAAAGAAAUAAAAUAAAUAAUAUAAAUUUAAUUUAUUUUUUUUAAAAUACAACAAUUUUUAUACGUAUUGGCUUACGUAUGCGAUUGGAAGGGAAGAUAGAUGGAAAGUCUACACUAAACUUCAACUACCAGUCAUGUUUUUAUGGUUUGAUUGAUGACAAUAUUGAUCCAAUAUCUGAAAUCAAAUAACAUGUCGCGUGUCAGGUGUAAUGGUAGUAAAAAACACAGUGCUGUCAAUUUCAUCAUUUCCAUGGUUUCCCUGAAACCUGCUACUCCAGGCUGGGAGGUAACAAUUACUUUUCAAUGAUUACUUUUCAAAAUAUUUUUUUAAAUAAAUUUACAUGAGAGUGGGUUGGAUUCAAAGCAUCUGCAUGCACAAGAUUUUACAGACAGAUUUAGUUAUAGCUCCAAUACAUACAGAUUGUUUUAUAAACCUACUAAGACUCAUUUGUCGUCUCCUUGCUCGAGAAGGCUUUCUGUGUUGGAACUACUGCCCCAUGCCCUCUCCUUCCAUAUCUGCUCAACUUCAACAAAUGCCAGCCCCAUGGUCUCAGGGACAUACAUAAUCACAAACACAACUGCGAGCACUGCUAUGCCCGCGAGCAUCAGGAAAGUCGAACCUGUUCCUACUGCUUCGGCAAUUGAAAGGAAAGUUUGGGCUACUAUCAGAUUGGAGAUCCAGUUAACAGUAGCUGACAUGCCCCCGCAUAUUCCUCGAUACUGUUCGGGAUAUAUCUCCGAGUUCACAGUCCAUGGAACAGGUCCCAUUCCUGGUGAGAAGCAAGCAAUAUACAGGGCUAACCCCAAAACUGCAAUCCACCCAUAGAGUUCAUUUGAAGAACCAGAUGACUUGCCAAAAAAUGCUCCGGCAAGAAUGAAAAGCGAUGCAAUUACUCC